UGGGCAGCGCCAGCGAGACAUCACUUAGAAAUGCUUUACGAGAUAUCGCACAGAGACAAGAUCGAUCGAGACUGGCGCCAGGAGGACGCGACGCGGAUCAAACGAACCGAAGGAGAAGGGCCGACCGCGCGCUUUAAUCCUGGCUGCUGAUGCUUUCACCCCCGGUCCGCGUAAAGGUCGCUGAUCAUCCCUCGAAUGGAUGGACGAUCCUGUACGCGACUUAGGCGUCGAGACGCGACAUCGUAAAGGCUGUGAUGGCGAAUGCGUCGUCAUGCUCCUUUCCUUUCUUGCUCUUCCGGAUCGUAGGCGGACCGUUCCAGAAAAUCCGGCAACCACCAACUGCGGGAGCACCUGAUUUGCAAGAAACUUUAAACUCGGGAAUUUGCUGC